GAUCCUGGCUCAGGAUGAACGCUGGCGGCGUGCUUAACACAUGCAAGUCGAGCGAAGCACUUAAGUUCGAUUCUUCGGAUGAAGACUUUUGUGACUGAGCGGCGGACGGGUGAAGGUAACGCGUGGGUAACCUGCCUCAUACGAGGGGGAUAACAGUUAGAAAUGGCUGCUAAUACCGCAUAAGACCACAGUACUGCAUGGUACAGUGGUAAAAACUCCGGUGGUAUGAGAUGGACCCGGCGU
rnacentral:rRNA from 1 species